rnacentral:rRNA from 2 species
GUGGACGCCAGUCUGCAUGGAGCCGACCUUGAAAUACCACCCUUUAAUGUUUGAUGUUCUAACGUGGACCCGUAAUCCGGGUUGCGGACAGUGUCUGGUGGGUAGUUUGACUGGGGCGGUCUCCUCCUAAAGAGUAACGGAGGAGCACGAAGGUUGGCUAAUCCUGGUCGGACAUCAGGAGGUUAGUGCAAUGGCAUAAGCCAGCUUGACUGCGAGCGUGACGGCGCGAGCAGGUGCGAAAGCAGGUCAUAGUGAUCCGGUGGUUCUGAAUGGAAGGGCCAUCGCUCAACGGAUAAAAGGUACUCCGGGGAUAACAGGCUGAUACCGCCCAAGAGUUCAUAUCGACGGCGGUGUUUGGCACCUCGAUGUCGGCUCAUCACAUCCUGGGGCUGAAGUAGGUCCCAAGGGUAUGGCUGUUCGCCAUUUAAAGUGGUACGCGAGCUGGGUUUAGAACGUCGUGAGACAGUUCGGUCCCUAUCUGCCGUGGGCGCUGGAGAACUGAGGGGGGCUGCUCCUAGUACGAGAGGACCGGAGUGGACGCAUCACUGGUGUUCGGGUUGUCAUGCCAAUGGCACUGCCCGGUAGCUAAAUGCGGAAGAGAUAAGUGCUGAAAGCAUCUAAGCACGAAACUUGCCCCGAGAUGAGUUCUCCCUGAGACUUAGAGUCUCCUGAAGGAACGUUGAAGACGACGACG